rnacentral:rRNA from 1 species
CCUACGGGAGGCAGCAGUGGGGAAUUUUGGACAAUGGGCGCAAGCCUGAUCCAGCAAUGCCGCGUGAGUGAAGAAGGCCUUCGGGUUGUAAAGCUCUUUUGUCAGGGAAGAAACGGCUGAGGCUAAUAUCCUCGGCUAAUGACGGUACCUGAAGAAUAAGCACCGGCUAACUACGUGCCAGCAGCCGCGGUAAUACGUAGGGUGCAAGCGUUAAUCGGAAUUACUGGGCGUAAAGCGUGCGCAGGCGGUUUUGUAAGUCUGUCGUGAAAGCCCCGGGCUUAACCUGGGAAUUGCGAUGGAGACUGCAAGGCUCGAAUCUGGCAGAGGGGGGUAGAAUUCCACGUGUAGCAGUGAAAUGCGUAGAGAUGUGGAGGAACACCGAUGGCGAAGGCAGCCCCCUGGGUCAAGAUUGACGCUCAUGCACGAAAGCGUGGGGAGCAAACAGGAUUAGAUACCCUGGUAGUCCACGCCCUAAACGAUGUCUACUAGUUGUCGGGUCUUAAUUGACUUGGUAACGCAGCUAACGCGUGAAGUAGACCGCCUGGGGNGGUACGGUCGCGAGAGUUAAACGUUAAAGGUAAGUUAGUACGGCGUGAGACGUAGCCGACGGACGACGACGAGGGAGGAGG